rnacentral:lncRNA from 1 species
AUGAAGAUGAAGAAGAAGAUGAUGAUGAUGAAUAAGUUGGUUCUAGCGCAGUUUUUUUUUUCUUGUCUAUAAAGCAUUUAACCCCCCUGUACACAACUCACUCCUUUUAAAGAAAAAAAUUGAAAUGUAAGGCUGUGUAAGAUUUGUUUUUAAACUGUACAGUGUCUUUUUUUGUAUAGUUAACACACUACCGAAUGUGUCUUUAGCUAGCCCUGUCCUGGUGGUAUUUUCAAUAGCCACUAACCUUGCCUGGUACAGUCUGGGGGUUAUAAAUUGGCAUGGAAAUUAAAGCAGGUUCUUGUUGGUGCACAGCACAAAUUAGUUAUAUAUGGGGACAGUAGUUUGGUUUUUUGUUUUUUUUUUUUUUUUUUUUUUUGUU